rnacentral:rRNA from 1 species
GACGAACGCUGGCGGCGUGCUUAACACAUGCAAGUCGAACGGUGAAGCGCCUUCCUUUUUGGUGGGUGUGGAUGAGUGGCGAACGGGUGAGUAACACGUGAGUAACCUGCCCCCUUCUUCUGGAUAACCGCAUGAAAGUGUGGCUAAUACGGGAUAUUCUGGGUCUGUCGCAUGAUGGGUCUGGGAAAGAUAUUGUUUCGGUGGGGGAUGGGCUCGCGGCCUAUCAGCUUGUUGGUGGGGUGAUGGCCUACCAAGGCGGUGACGGGUAGCCGGCCUGAGAGGGUGGACGGUCACACUGGGACUGAGACACGGCCCAGACUCCUACGGGAGGCAGCAGUGGGGAAUAUUGCACAAUGGGCGCAAGCCUGAUGCAGCGACGCCGCGUGAGGGAUGGAAGCCUUCGGGUUGUGAACCUCUUUCGACAGUGAAGCAGGCCUGCCUCGUUUGUGGGUGGGUUGACGGUAGCUGGAUAAGAAGCGCCGGCUAACUACGUG